rnacentral:siRNA from 1 species
GGGACAAUAAGUUGGUGGAACAC